rnacentral:rRNA from 1 species
UCAGCUCGUGUCGUGAGAUGUUGGGUUAAGUCCCGCAACGACGCAACCCUUACUUUUAGUUGCUACCAUUCAGUUGGGCACUCUAAAAGAACUGCCAGUGAUAAGCUGGAGGAAGGUGGGGAUGACGUCAAGUCCUCAUGGCCCUUAUGUGUUGGGCUACACACGUGCUACAAUGGUAUUUACAGUGGGAUGCAAAGAGGCAACUCCUAGCAAACCCNNNNAAAAAUACCUCAGUUCGGAUUGUACUCUGCAACUCGAGUACAUGAAGCUGGAAUUACUAGUAAUCGCGGAUCAGN